GGGUGUGAUCAUACCAGCACUAAUGCACCAUAUCCCAUCAGAACUCCGAAGUUAAGCGUGCUUGGGUGAGAAUAGUACUAUGAUGGGUGACCUCCCAAGAAGUCCUCGUGUUGCACCCU
rnacentral:rRNA from 2 species